rnacentral:rRNA from 1 species
CCCGCUGAACUUAAGCAUAUCAAUAAGCGGAGGAAAAGAAACUAACAAGGAUUCCCCUAGUAACUGCGAGUGAACCGGGAAAAGCUCAAAUUUUGAAUCUGGCGGUCUUCAGGCCGUCCGAGUUGUAAUCUAGUAGAAGCGUCUUCCGCGCUGGACCGUGUAUAAGUUUCCUGGAAUGGAACGUCGUAGAGGGUGAGAAUCCCGUCUUUGACACGAACUGCCAGGGCUAUGUGAUGCGCUCUCGACGAGUCGAGUGUGUUUGGGAAUGCAGCUCAAAUAGGGUGGUAAAUUCCAUCUAAAGCUAAAUACAGGCGAGAGACCGAUAGCGAACAAGUACCGUGAGGGAAAGAUGAAAAGAACUUUGGAAAGAGAGUUAAACAGUGACGUGAAAUUGCUGAAAGGGAAACGCUUGAUGUCAGUCGCGUCGUCCGGGGAUCAGCCUUGCUCUUUUGCUCGGUGUAUUUCUUGGUCGACGGGUCAGCAUCGGUUUCGACCGUCGGAAAAUGGCUCGAGGAAUGUGGCACCCUUCGGGGUGUGUUAUAGACUCGGGUCGAAUACGGCGAUUGGGUCCGAGGAACUCAGCACGACCUUAGGGUUCGGGGCUUCGGCCCACGUCAACGUGCUUAGGAUGCUGGCAUAAUGGCCUUAAGCGACCCGUCUUGAAACACGG